AUACGUAGGGGGCGAGCGUUGUCCGGAAUCAUUGGGCGUAAAGCGCGUGUAGGCGGUUCGGAAAGUCUGCUGUGAAAGUCUAGGGCUCAACCCUGGAAUGCCGGUGGAAACUUUCGAGCUUGAGUCCGGAAGAGGCGAGUGGAAUUCCUGGUGUAGCGGUGAAAUGCGCAGAUAUCAGGAGGAACACCAAUGGCGAAGGCAGCUCGCUGGGACGUGACUGACGCUGAGACGCGAAAGCGUGGGGAGCAAACAGGAUUAGAUACCCUGGUAGUCCACGCUGUAAACGAUGGGUACUAGGUGUGGGGGGUGUCGACUCCCUCCGUGCCGUCGCUAACGCAUUAAGUACCCCGCCUGGGGAGUACGGCCGCAAGGCUAAA
rnacentral:rRNA from 1 species